CUGGCGGCAGGCUUACCAUGCAAGUCGAGCGGUAACAGGGGAAGCUUGCUUCCCGCUGACGAGCGGCGGACGGGUGAGUAAUGCUUAGGAAUCUGCCCAGUAGUGGGGGAUAGCCCGGGGAAACCCGGAUUAAUACCGCAUACGUCCUACGGGAGAAAGCAGGGGAUCUUCGACCUUGCGCUAUUGGAUGAGCCUAAGUCGGAUUAGCUAGUUGGUGGGGUAAAGGCCUACCAAGGCGACGAUCCGUAGCUGGUCUGAGAGGAUGAUCAGCCACAUCGGGACUGAGACACGGCCCGAACUCCUACGGGAGGCAGCAGUGGGGAAUAUUGUACAAUGGGGGCAACCCUGAUCCAGCCAUGCCGCGUGUGUGAAAAAAGCUUUCGGGUUGUAAAGCACUUUCAGUGAGGAGGAAAACCUUCUGGUUAAUACCCAUGAAGCUUGACGUAACUCACAGAAGAAGCACCGGCUAACUCCGUGCCAGCAGCCGCGGUAAUACGGAGGGUGCAAGCGUUAAUCGGAAUUACUGGGCGUAAAGCGCGCGUAGGUGGUUUGAUAAGCGAGAUGAGAAAGCCCCGGGCUUAACCUGGGAACGGCAUUUCGAACUGUCAGGCUAGAGUGUGGUAAAGGGUAGUGGAAUUUCCUGUGUAGCGGUGAAAUGCGUAGAUAUAGGAAGGAACACCAGUGGCGAAGGCGGCUACCUGGACCAACACUGACACUGAGGUGCGAAAGCGUGGGGGAGCAAACAGGAUUAGAUACCCUGGUAGUCCACGCCGUAAACGAUGUCAACUAGCCGUUGGGACUCUUGAAGUCUUAGUGGCGCAGCUAACGCACUAAGUUGACCGCCUGGGGAGUACGGCCGCAAGGUUAAAACUCAAAUGAAUUGACGGGGGCCCGCACAAGCGGUGGAGCAUGUGGUUUAAUUCGACGCAACGCGAAGAACCUUACCUGGCCUUGACAUCCAGAGAACUUUCCAGAGAUGGAUUGGUGCCUUCGGGAACUCUGAGACAGGUGCUGCAUGGCCGUCGUCAGCUCGUGUCGUGAGAUGUUGGGUUA
rnacentral:rRNA from 2 species